rnacentral:rRNA from 1 species
AUUGAACGCUGGCGGCAGGCCUAACACAUGCAAGUCGAGCGGGGUUUUCGGACCUAGCGGCGGACGGGUGAGUAAUGCGUAGGAAGCUGCCCGAUAGAGGGGGAUACCAGUUGGAAACGACUGUUAAUACCGCAUAAUGUCUACGGACCAAAGUGUGGGACCUUCGGGCCACAUGCUAUCGGAUGCGCCUACGUGGGAUUAGCUAGUUGGUGGGGUAAUGGCUCACCAAGGCGACGAUCUCUAGCUGGUUUGAGAGGAUGAUCCGCCACACUGGAACUGAGACACGGUCCAGACUCCUACGGGAGGCAGCAGUGGGGAAUAUUGGACAAUGGGCGCAAGCCUGAUCCAGCCAUGCCGCGUGUGUGAAGAAGGCCUUCGGGUUGUAAAGCACUUUCAGCGAGGAGGAAGGGUGGUGUGUUAAUAGCACAUCAUUUUGACGUUACUCGCAGAAGAAGCACCGGCUAACUCUGUGCCAGCAGCCGCGGUAA